GAUGAACGCUGGCGGCGUGCCUAAUACAUGCAAGUCGAGCGAACAGACGAGGAGCUUGCUCCUCUGACGUUAGCGGCGGACGGGUGAGUAACACGUGGAUAACCUACCUAUAAGACGGGGAUAACUUCGGGAAACCGGAGCUAAUACCGGAUAAUAUAUUGAACCGCAUGGUUCAAUAGUGAAAGACGGUUUUGCUGUCACUUAUAGAUGGAUCCGCGCCGCAUUAGCUAGUUGGUAAGGUAACGGCUUACCAAGGCAACGAUGCGUAGGCGACCUGAGAGGGUGAUCGGCCACACUGGAACUGAGACACGGUCCAGACUCCUACGGGAGGCAGCAGUAGGGAAUCUUCCGCAAUGGGCGAAAGCCUGACGGAGCAACGCCGCGUGAGUGAUGAAGGUCUUCGGAUCGUAAAACUCUGUUAUUAGGGAAGAACAAAUGUGUAAGUAACUAUGCACGUCUUGACGGUACCUAAUCAGAAAGCCACGGCUAACUACGUG
rnacentral:rRNA from 1 species